CCUACGGGACGCAGCAGUGGGGAAUAUUGCACAAUGGGGGAAACCCUGAUGCAGCGACGCCGCGUGAGUGAAGAAGUAAUUCGUUAUGUAAAGCUCUAUCAGCAGGGAAGAAAAUGACGGUACCUGAGUAAGAAGCCCCGGCUAACUACGUGCCAGCAGCCGCGGUAAUACGUAGGGGGCAAGCGUUAUCCGGAUUUACUGGGUGGAAAGGGAGCGUAGACGGCAGUGCAAGACUGGAGUGAAAGGCGGGGGCUCAACCCCCGGACUGCUCUGGAAACUGUACGGCUGGAGUGCAGGAGAGGUAAGUGGAAUUCCUAGUGUAGCGGUGAAAUGCGUAGAUAUUAGCAGGAACACCAGUGGCGAAGGCGGCUUACUGGACUGUAACUGACGUUGAGGCUCGAAAGCGUGGGGAGCAAACAGGAUUAGAUACCCGAGUAGUC
rnacentral:rRNA from 1 species